rnacentral:lncRNA from 1 species
GCGAUCCCAUGAGGCCUUGCAAUGUCCUGUGCGGCUAUCCAUUGUGCGAUGGACGGUGCAUGCUGUGCAUCGUAUCAAGCAGUGCUGAUCCGCACUUUUAAAUAUAAGAGAUGAAUAGAUGAAAUUGGGAUGGAGUAUUAAAAGAUAAAUAAAAAAAUAAUUAAUAAAAAAAAGAAAGAGAAAAAGAAGAGGGAGAUAUAUUAGAGAGAG